AUAUUUUGUUAAUAGAAAUAGAUAUGAGGACUUAAAGGGUUUAUAUUUAGGUAGUGCUUGAGCCAAGGAAAAUGAUAGUCCACUAUCUUGACCCUAUGCAUCACAAACCAUGUGAGGACUUAAAGGAUAUCGUAAACAUGGCUCUUCGAAUAUCUGCAAAGAAAACAUCUAAGAGGGAGCCAUCUUAGCAACUAGUGCAGUGUCCAAGACAAGAAGGAGGGUUCGAAUGUGGCUACUUUGUUAUGAGAUUCAUUAAAGAGAUAAUUUUUUAUCCUACAAUUAUUGCUUCUAAGGUAUUACUUAUUUAAUGAAUUGUACAUAGUUUUAGGCUUCCAAAUGUU